UCUUGUAAACAAUGGAUCGUUGUCUGGUGAACUGGCAUUGAAUUUCUCGAUUGCUCAUCAUUUUUGAGUUUUCAAUGUAAGUGAUGAUGCCCAAGAUCCAAUGCAGUCACAUCAUUCAAAUUCAGGCCUGACAGCAACAAGAAACAUGAGGCCUCCAGCAGAAUCUGUGGAUGUUUGUGAUGUAUUGAAGGAAUAAUUUCUCCAGGUGGAGCUCACGAAUGGGAAGAUGGAAUGAUCUAGGAAUGUAUUUUGAUUGUUAUAGGCCUACUGUACAAAUUGCAUUGAAUAAAAUCCUUUUUUUACU